AGCAUAUCAAUAAGCGGAGGAAAAGAAACCAACAGGGAUUGCCCUAGUAACGGCGAGUGAAGCGGCAACAGCUCAAAUUUGAAAUCUGGCCUUCUGGUCCGAAUUGUAAUUUGUAGAGGAUGCUUUUGGUUAGGUACCUUUCGAGUUCCUUGGAACUGGACGCCUUAGAGGGUGAGAGCCCCGUACGAUUGGAUACCGAGCCUCUGUAAAGCUCCUUCGACGAGUCGAGUAGUUUGGGAAUGCUGCUCUAAAUGGGAGGUAAAUUUCUUCUAAAGCUAAAUACCGGCCAGAGACCGAUAGCGCACAAGUAGAGUGAUCGAAAGAUGAAAAGCACUUUGAAAAGAGGGUUAAAUAGUACGUGAAAUUGUUGAAAGGGAAGGGCUUAUGACCGGACCUUUGCCUUGCGGAUCAUCCGGUGUUCUCACCGGUGCACUCCGCUUGGUUGAGGCCAGCAUCAGUUUUGGCGGCCGGAUAAAGACUUCAGGAAUGUGACUCCCCCGGGAGUGUUAUAGCCUGCUGUGUAAUACGGCCGCUGGGACUGAGGACCGCGCUUCGGCUAGGAUGCUGGCAUAAUGGUCAUCAGCCACCCGU
rnacentral:rRNA from 1 species